AUUUUGUGUUAUUUGUGGGUAUAAUCGGACAGGAAGGCUCAUUAAUAUAAGAAUUGCUUCAGGCAGAAUAUCAACAUCAACUUGCUAUCAUGAUUUGUAUUGUAGACAAAGGAAUAUCUAAUUACAGACACAACAUCCGGUUUAUAAAUACAUCUAUAGAUAAUUAGCCAUGUGUCGGUUAUUAUAAAAUAUAGACUCAAAUUUGAAUGAAAGAAACGAAUCACAAUUUAUCAACAUCCCC
rnacentral:lncRNA from 1 species